GAUGAACGCUAGCGGCAGGCCUAACACAUGCAAGUCGGACGGUAAAUAGUAGCAAUACUAUGAGAGUGGCAAACGGGUGAGUAACGCGUAUGCAACCUACCCUUAACUGUGGGAUAGCUCGGAGAAAUUCGGAUUAAUACCACAUGUUACUAUUGGAUGGCAUCAUUUGAUAGUAAAAGUUUUAAUGGUUAAGGAUGGGCAUGCGUGUCAUUAGCUAGUUGGUAAGGUAACGGCUUACCAAGGCGACGAUGACUAGGGGGUCUGAGAGGAUGAUCCCCCA
rnacentral:rRNA from 1 species